UUGUCUCUAGGUCACAUAGUGUAGUUUAGUCCAUUCAUUUUCUUUCUCUUAUGUCUAUAUAAGACAUGUAUUUUAGUAGAGGAAGCAGAAUGAAAGAACGAGCCGAACAAAAUCCCUCACAAUAUAUUCCUCUCCCCUUCAUGGUUAAACCUUUCCUUCAACACCAAACUGUCCUCCGUGUGUAACUCUGUUUGUAUAAAAAUAAGUGUGUUUUAAUAAAAGUUUUCAAGUUUUUGCAAAAGUCCUUAGGGUUCCCAAAAGGGAAACCUCUCAGUUAUAUCAUGUAAGUCUCAUUUAAGCUUUACUUUUUCCCGCCAAAAAUAUGCUAAUGUUUAUGUUUAUAUGCUUAUGAUUAUGUAGUUCAUGUAAAUAAUCUUGUUUCUUUAAAAACGUAACCUUAGUAUAUGAUUAACCUCUUAAUUUUUUAAUAACAACGAUGAAUUAACUUGUAAAUUCCUAGGAGUCCUGGCCUUAAUAGUCCACCGAAAUCAAAGAGUAAAGGACGAAUGUUGUUUGCCAGAUGAAUAUUUCAGGGUGUGGUUAAAGAAGAAAUUAUUAAGAACAAAGGUUAAGAGAGAGAUGAACAGGGUCAGAUUAAAAAAAAAAAAUUUAAUAUGAUAAACUUUAAAUAUAGAUGACUUUUAUAUAACAAUAAACUUUAAUGAUAAAUGAUUUUCAUGUAACAAAAAAAUAAAAAUAAUUUUGUUUGACCAUAUGUGUAUUUAGCUGACUAAACAAUUUUGUUAGGAUCUAAAAAUUAGAUUAUAUAACAUAAAUUGAUAUAUUAGAGAGACCUUUCUAAGUAGAUAUUUUUUUUAAUUAUAUUGAAAACAAUUAACCAAUUAGUAAUUUGCCUUUUUAAGAUGUUCAAAAGUCACAUCUGGUGUCAAAUACAAUAAAAAAUAAAAUCCAUUAAUAACAUGGAAAUGUAUAUAUUUGUAGAGUAUGACUUUUUUUUUUAUAAGAGUUAAAAAAGAAGUUGAACUAAGUCAAUUUGUUAUCAAAUACAAAUAAAAAAAUAUAGUGAAAUUCAAUAUUUACCUUUUAUCUUCAAGUGGAAGUAAAAUAAAAUAAUCAAGAGAGAAGCAAGUGUUAUAAAUGGACUAAUUGGUUUAAGUCAAGGUCUUUUUAAAGGAAAAAGAAACAAAUAUGCGGUUCAGAUUUUUUUUUCGAUAUAUCUCUUUUAAAAAAGAAAAAGUGAAAAUAAAUAUGUUAGAAAGAUUGUUUAUUAAGAAAAUAAACACAUCCUAAUUAUUAUGAGUUUCAUACGUUAUCUAUUCAUUAUGGAAAAAGACUUAAAUAUGCUAAUUAUUAGAAAUGACUUAUUCAUGGCGUUUGUUACAAAUUUGACUCAUCUAUGUUACCGCAUUUAAAAGUUUGGGUUCAUUUAUGUCAUUAUCAUAAUAGAUUGGUUCAUUCAUGCCAUUAUUUUAUAAUGAUGAUUUUGCAAAAUCAUUUUUGCCACGUGAAAAUGUAAACAAAUACAAAAAAUAUUCUUGGUACCUGUGGGACAAACACUUAAACUUGGGCUCAACUAGCAAGUAAGUACUCCAACUUUGAGAGUGCACUCCAACUUGAUCUCAACUGGCAACUAAACAUUCUAACUUGUUCCGUCUCUCUAGUGGUCACUCGAUAGCAACGUGACACAUAUGUUUUGAAGGUGUCCAGAUGUGCAAACUCAAAGUUGGAGUGUUUAAUUGCCAGUUGGGGCCAAGUUUGAGUAUCUGCUUGUGUUUAUGUCUUUUUUAUUUGUUUGACAGUACGUCUGUUAGUUGAUUAUUUUGAAAAUAUUUUGCAGAUAAAUUAUCUUUAACUGUCUAACAUAACAUUCUCAAUGUUUUGCAGAUAAUUUAUCUUUAAUUGUCUAACAUAACAUUCUCAAUAUUUUACAGAUAAUGUCUUUAACUGUCUAACAUAACAUUCUCAAUCUUUAGAACAAAUAUGCAUGAAUUAUUUCAUGAAGUAUGUGCUGAAAAUUGCUUAAGUUACUGCACUAGUUUUUUGCAAAAUAAGUUAAAUAAUUUAGGAUGAAUUUAAAUUUUGAAUUUAAGUUAUGUUAUUUGAUUUGUUGAGACAAUUUAGUUAAUUUAUAUUUUGAAUGUUGCUGAUUUUUCUAUUGUAAGGUGGCUAUUUAAAGCCCCCUGAUGCUCAAUAAAAUUAUUGAAUGCUAUUAAAAGUUAUUCAAUCAUUUGAGAGUCAUUUUAACCCAUUUUAACUCCCUUUUCGUUGCCCCGUCUUUCUUUAAAAAACCAACAAUAUUUGUCCGAAUAGUUUAGAGACUCGAUGGUUAGCUUUCGACCUCCCAAUCAACAAACAAUGUCGAUGAAAGUGUAGAUGAAUUUGCAAAACCAUUCUUGGAAGAUUCAUGCAAGAGUGUAGGUGAAUUUGCAAAAUCAUUUGAAAAUUAAAGUAUUUUCAAAGAAGAAAGAAAUCAUUCUUUUCUCAAACGGAUUAAAAAGAAAAGUAUCGUAUGUAAAAAUUGACUAGACCAAAUAUUUGCUUACAAACUUAUUUAGGUCUGUCUAGCCUUAAAAAAUUAAUCCACGUGGAAUAUUUUUAUUCUUUUUUGCUAAUACGUUAUUUUUUUAUUUUGUUAAUUGAUUUUUGUUAAUUUUGAGGUGUGUUUCUUAAAAUAAUGAGUAAUAAUUUAGGUGUGUUUCUCAUACUCACAAGUGUCUUAGUAUAAAACUCCAAAAAAGAGAAAAUAAUUUUAGAUGCAUUUUUGCCACUUAAUACUUUUUGUAAAUUAAAGGUAGUCUUGAUAGUUGUCAUAUUCACUUUAUGGGUCAAAAAAUAUCCUUUUCUUUUUUAAAAAUAACUAUUUUGCUCCGAAACCUCUAGAGAUUUGUUUCGAUCCUCCACCCUUAUAUUAGUAUAUCUUAAUUGACUUAUUAGCCCACAAAGUAUUAGCGGCACACAGCUAAUAUAAACACAAAAUUUGUGAUUGGUACAACAAAUUGGCCAAGGUCUUUUUUAAAUAUAUCAAUGAGGUAUAUUUCUACAUAAUUUCAUAAGUGGAAAUUACACAAGCGUAUGUAGGAUUGGACAUAUUUUGGUUCAAGUCAAAGAAAUCGAAAACUCAAAUCAAAAUUUAAUUUUGAUUUUGUUUUUUUUAAUUUUUCGGAUUGGUUUCAAUGUCAAAUUUUAAAAAUUUGAAUAAACAGUUUGGUUUUUGAUUUUUCCAAAAAAAAAAUCCAGUUAAAUCGAAAAAUCAACAACAACAGACCCAGUGUAAUCCCACACAGUGGAGUUUGGUGAGGAUAAUAUGUACACAGUUCAUACCGCUACCUCCGAAGAAGCAGAGAGGGUAAAAUGUACACAGUCAAUAAUAUAUAAGUUGAUUUGAAAAAAAAAAAAAUUCAAACUAUUUAAGUCAAUCAAAUAUGAGAAAAUUAAAAACAUAAAAAACAACUAACUAAAAGUAGAAAUACAAGCUAGCUUUAUACUGUCUUCGUUCCAAAAUACUUGAUCCUUUUGUAUUUGGCGCGCCCUUAAGAUUUCAAAUAUUUCUUGCGUAUUUUUACUUUUUUACCCUUAUACCCUAAUUAUGAUAGAAAUCAAGAAAUAUUUAAUUGAUGGCACGCAUGCUUUACUACCCCAAUAAAUAUAGCGGUUCAUAUUCACUUAGAAAUUCAAUACAAAGAGUCAAAAAGGGUCAGAUAGGUAUCUGAAAUUUACAUUUAAUAACAGUCUUCAAACUGGAGAAGAUUUGCCUAUUAAGUCUUUUCAAGUUUUCAAUUAGCAAAAUGGCCUACUUCUAUUUUUUCAUCGGUCGAAUUGAUAAUCGAUCAGUCAGUACAUAGGUCGGAUCAAUAAUCAAUUUAUCGGAUCGAUAAUUGAUCUUCUAUAUAUCAAUCGGAUAAAUAAUAGAUCUGUCUACAAAAUGUGUCAUUUCCUAAAAAAAUAAAUAAUACUUUUAGUCUAUUUAAUUUAAAAAAAAACUUGAAAAAAACAUUUAACAAUAGAUCCUUGAAACUGGUGUAAUACUCAAUGUAUUAGGAGUAAAUUGAAAAAGAAUGUUUAAAAUACUCUUCAUUUUAUAAAUAGGACAAAUAAAAUUAGAAAGAGGGUGACAUAUUUUGAAACGAAGGAAGUAACAUAGAAAACAUUUAACUAAAAAUUGUAAUACACGCUAAGUAAACAGAUGAAGUUAAAAAUAAUUUACAUUUUUAGUUGUUCAGCAAUCAGAUCUGCUGUCAAACACAAAUGAAAAUGAAAAAAACCGAUUAGUAGCACUAAAAAUUAUAUAUAUGAAAAGGUCGAAUAAAAUAUAAAGAGAUUUUUAAUAUGAUAACUUUAAAUAUAGCUGACUUUUAUAUAAAAAUAAACUUUAAUGAUAAAUGACUUUCAUGUGACAAAAAAUUAAAAAAAAAUUGUGUAAUCAUUUGUGUAAUUUAGCUGACUAAACAAUUUUCUUAGGAUCUAAAAAUCAUAUUAUAUAACAUAAAAUUGAUAUAUUAGAGAGAGCAUAAAGAAAUUGUAAAACCGUUUUCCUUUCUAUGUAAGUUGAUACUUUUUUAUUUAUUACAUAAAAAAAAAUAACUAAGUCAUAAUUUAGCUUUUUCAGAUGUUCAACAGUCAAAUCUGGUGUCAGAUACAACAAAAAAAUAAGAUUCAUUAAUAACAUGGAAAUGUAUAUAUUUGAUGAAUAUGAAGAAGAAGAAAAAAACACAGAAGUUAAAAAAAGUUGAACUAAAUUAAUUUGUUAUCAAAUACAAAUAAAAAAGUAUAAUGAAAUUCAAUGUUUACCUUUGAUGAUCUUCAAGUUGAAGCAAAAUAAAAUCUUCAAUGUUUGCAGAGAGUUUUGAAUUUUAUAAGAAACCAAAAGCAAGAGAGAAGCAAGUGCUAUAAUGGAAUGAUUGGUUUGAGUCAAGGUCUUAAAGGAAUAAAGGAAAAAGAAGCAAAUAUCUCUUUUAAAAAAGAAAAAGUGAAAAUAAUUGUGUUAGAAAGAUUGUUUAUUAAGAAAAUAAACACAUCCUAAUUAUCACGAGUUGAUACGUUAACUAUUCAUUAUGAAAAAAGGCUUAAAUAUGCCAUCAAAUUAUUAGAAAUAAUUUAUUUAUGUCGUCCGUUCUAAGUUUAACUCAUUUAUGUGCCCGCCUUUAAAAGUUUGGGUUCAUUUAUGACACUAUUGUAAUAAAUUGAUUCAUUCAUGCCAUUAUUUUAUAACAGUGAUUUUGUAAAAUUAUUUUUGUCGUGUGACAUUUUACUAGAAGUCUACGUCAUCAAAUUUAAAUCAAAUAUAAACAAAUACAGAAAAUAUCCUUGGCACCUGUGGGACAAACGCUCAAAUCUGGUCUCAGCUGGCAAGGAAAUGUCAUGUAUUUAAGGGAAUCACACAUCAGAGGUAAUAGAACCCUUGUAAAGUUGAA
rnacentral:lncRNA from 1 species